rnacentral:piRNA from 1 species
UGGAAUGCCUAUUAGCUGCAUGAGGGGA